rnacentral:lncRNA from 1 species
AUACCUUUUAUGUUCAAACUACCUGGUGUAUUAUUAUGUUGGAAAAUAAAUAAGGUGGUCAUGGCUACCAGGGAACAAAGCGAAGAUACCGAAGACUGUGACAACGAUGUUGUCAUAUUGGGUAGUCAUCAACGGAAAUUCAUCGCUAUAAGGAACAUCAAUGAAACAAAAGAAACAACCAAAAAAUAGAGUUUACUACUCUCUGAGGUAACUAUGAUGAGUAAACAAGAGUUGAUAAGCGGCCUUUUGCACUACAUCGUCCAGAUUAAUUGCACCGAAGCCAUAGAGAAAGUAUGGCUUCAAUCAGUACUAAAGAAAGAUGAGCCAUUGGAAAGUGAUUGCUUCAACAUGGCUAUACGCAUUUUAUUCUCUAUUGCUCAUGUUAUUGCCUGGACUUGCAAUAUCGAAUAUAUUGACUUCUCUAUUGCUUAUAGUGAAGAUUUUAUUAAAAUCAUGUAUAUUGCUAGUGGCUUUGGUAAAUCCCCAGUCCACCAUGACAACAUAGAUGUUGCAAAGACCAUUCCUAUACCAGUACACCAUGCUCGAAGCUUUAUCUUUGUCAUACUGGACCAUGAAAAAUAUAAAAAUAACCCAAACAUGAGGUACAUCGUAAAACUGUUAACUAUUGCUGAUCACAUCAACAAAGCUACGUGGAAGGCACGCCCUUGCUCUAGGUGGAAUAAAGACAUCACCUUGUGGAGGCAAAUAAUGGUCAAUAAUCCGGUUCUUGACAGGUGUCGGCGCGUGGAGGUGGUGCGGCGGCCGGCGUCACCGUGUCGGUGCGUGGUGGUGGUGCGGCGGCAGGCGCCGCCGCGUGGAGGUGGUGCGGCGGCCAGCGUUGCUGCGUGGUCGUCGAGGUGGUGCGGCGACCGGCGUCGCCGCGUCGCCGCGUGGAGGUGGUACGGCGGCCGAGACAGCGAGGCGUCGGCGCCGCUGGCAGAGAUGGCGAGGAGGAAGACGAGGGGAGGUGGAGACGACUGGCGACGGACGACGGCGGCAGGGGUGGGGCGGCGCUGCAGGCGCGCAGGACCUGGAUGCGCCACCGAUGCCGAGGGAGUUGGGGAAUGGGGAGUGCCGCACGCCCCCACCCACACAGCCACUCUCUAGGUCUAGGGUU